AAUGAUUAAAAUUAAUUACAACCUCUGGCAAAGUGUAGACCUGAGCCAAGGAGGCUUGCUUGGUCUCUCCUUCAGCUCAAAGCAGUUUGCCAAGGGUUUACAAGCUCUCCAUUGUGCUCCACCUGCCUUCCUCGGUUGUGCCCCAUGUUCCCUAGGUUGGCUGCGUGCUACUCCCUGGGGAUCCCUGUGUUCCUGUUCAGGACUUCACGUUGUCCUCUGAGAGCCCAAGAAUUUCCUCAGCACUGCUCCGUGUGUCAACUCAUUUCACUGUGCUUGCUUCCCAGUUACUCACACUGAUUUUCUUGGUAAUGAACCGAAUUCGCAGAGGUGAUUUGGAGCCAGGGAAGAGGGGAGGGUAGUGCCACGACAAGCCCUUGGAAGAAAUAUUUUAGGACAGAUGGUUUGAGUAAGCAAACAUUUAUCCAUCAAACACCCUGGGAUUGCCACAAAUUGUAUUUAAAAGCCACCAGCUCUCCCUGUUGGGGUAACCGGGAAGGAGACCAUCCAGGCAGAGUGAAGGCUGGGGGAGAAGGACCUCCCCCCACCAUGAGCAACUGGCUGAUUCAGAGGAACACAGGCUGAGAUGAUGACAACUGAAGUAAAGAAACAACUUUACACUUGUACUGUUUGGUUGACUUUGCAAGCCCAGAGCCAGUAGUCUGAGCAACUCUGUAGAGGACAAUAACAUACAAUGUAGUAACUAUUGUGAAUUUCCCUGGUAACAUUUGAUCAUCUUGAAAUCUCUCAGUGUUGUUCAUUCACAGUCUUAUCACUGUUUUGUUUUGUUUCAUUUUAUUGUUCUGUUUUAUUUCCUUAAAAAAAUUAUUUCCUUAAAAAAAAGUCACCAGGAUUUUAUCUGAUUCUCAAGUAAUUGUUACUUGAGAAUAAAGAUAUUUAUGCAAAGUGUUUAGAACUUGAUAUUUAAAGUGAUUUUUUAUUUUGCUAAGGAUAAGAUAUGAUUCUCUAAAGGGUAAAUGGUAAUUUUAUGUAAACAUGUGAGGUUUGCUUGGGACUAAGUUUUUGUUAUUUGCAAUAGUCAUGUCAUUACUACAUAGGAACGUGCAACCUAUAUACAUGUAUGAAAAACAUUUCUGCAUGAGGAAGUUUUAAAUUGGUGUGUUAAUUGCAUCUUAUUAAUUUGAUAUAAGCAAUGUUAUUGUUUAGUAUUUGUAACAUUUACAGUGUCCUGCAAUUACUUCAUAGAUAUUUAAUCUUGUCCACUAGGGGCUACCUUUAAAAGUCACCAAAGUGGUAGUUAAAAUGAACUAUGGUUUCCUAGUAAACAAACUCUUGUAUCUUAGACAUUAUUUUCCUCUAUACUUAAUCAUAACUUUCUGUUAGAUCCAGAAAUUGAUUUUAACUUACAUAUGACAGGUGUAUUUUUAAUGGUAUUUGGAAGUAGUACUAAAUUUCUUGAAAUUGAUUAAUAAAUAAUCACAUCUAUAUAAAAUACAGUAGCUAGGGAAUUUUAAAAAUACACCGCAUGCAAAAAAUAGGCUUCUAACAUGUAAAAAAUAAUUCCAGGGAACUUUCUAUGAAUUGAAUUUUUUAAAAUGCCCAUGGACUUUAUUAUUUCAAAGUAUUCCUACAGUCUGAUCUCCAAAUUUACCAGCUAUUAGUGUUUGAUCUAAGUUUCACACUCAAGAAAAUCUGCAGAGCAAGAGAGGAAUAGCAAAUAGUACUUUUGCCACAGGGUCAGUGUAGUCACUAAUAAGCUUCAGGACUUGGACAGUUACCCGCGGAUGUCAUGGAAGUGUUUGAUCAUCUUGAAAGCUCCUGCUAUUGAACAAUCAUGGUACUCAGGUAGCUAAACUAGAGACUAUUGUGCUUUAGAUCAAGUGCUUUUUGUUGUUGUUCUUCUCAGCUCCAGCAGUAGUGAAAAGUGCUGUUUUAAACUUGGUUUUUGAGGUACUAUUGCAAUAAAAAAUGUGGUGGUA